CCUACGGGCGGCUGCAGUGGGGAAUCUUGCGCAAUGGACGAAAGUCUGACGCAGCCAUGCCGCGUGAAUGAUGAAGGUCUUAGGAUUGUAAAGUUCUUUAGCCUGUGACGAUGAUGACGGUAACAGGAGAAUAAGCCCCGGCUAACUUCGUGCCAGCAGCCGCGGUAAUACGAAGGGGGCUAGCGUUGUUCGGAAUUACUGGGCGUAAAGCGCGCGUAGGCGGUUUUACAAGCCAGAGGUGAAAUGCCUGAGCUCAACUUAGGAAUUGCCUUUGGAACUGUAUGGCUUUGAGGACGAGAGAGGUGAGUGGAAUUCCCAGUGUAGAGGUGAAAUUCGUAGAUAUUGGGAAGAACACCGGUGGCGAAGGCGGCUCACUGGCUCGUUUCUGACGCUGUAGCGCGAAAGCGUGGGGAUCAAACAGGCUUAGAUACCCCUGUAGUC
rnacentral:rRNA from 1 species